GAGGAAGUAAAAGUCGUAACAAGGUUUCCGUAGGUGAACCUGCGGAAGGAUCAUUAAUGAAUUUGAAAUCGGAGGUUUGUUGCUGGCGUGGAAACACGUAUGUGCACGRCCUUCGUGCUCAUCCACUCACCCUUGUGCACCUUAUCGAAGUUAGUAAUACUUUUCUAUCGGGCUGUAAUUGGGCUGCUGGUAUUAUUAGUCGCAGGGCGAAAAUGCUAGUGCUCUUGGUCUGAGGGGAAGGGACGAACACUUUGACUUUACAAACACAUACUUUGUCUUGUAGAAUGUAAUGCUCCUUGUGGGCGAAAUGAAAUACAACUUUCAACAACGGAUCUCUUGGCUCUCGCAUCGAUGAAGAACGCAGCGAAAUGCGAUAAGUAAUGUGAAUUGCAGAAUUCAGUGAAUCAUCGAAUCUUUGAACGCACCUUGCGCCCCUUGGUUUUCCGAGGGGCAUGCCUGUUUGAGUGUCAUGUUUAUCUCAAUCUCCUUGUCUUCUUAAUUGAAGUCUCGGSGCUUGGAUUUGGAGGUCUUGCUGGCAGUUAUGUCGGCUCCUCUUAAAUACAUUAGCUGGACUUUGGUUCGCGUUACUGGUGUAAUAGAUUUAUGUUCGCCAGACGCUUGCCUAAUGGGUCUGCUUCUAAUCGUCUUCGGACAAGGUCUUUGACCUKCUUGACACCUUUGACCUCAAAUCAGGUAGGACUACCCGCUGAACUUAAGCAUAUC
rnacentral:rRNA from 1 species